GAUGAACGCUGGCGGCGUCCCUAAUACAUGCAAGUCGAGCGAAUGGAUUAAGAGCUUGCUCUUAUGAAGUUAGCGGCGGACGGGUGAGUAACACGUGGGUAACCUGCCCAUAAGACUGGGAUAACUCCGGGAAACCGGGGCUAAUACCGGAUAAUAUUUUGAACUGCAUGGUUCAAAAUUGAAAGGCGGCUUCGGCUGUCACUUAUGGAUGGACCCGCGUCGCAUUAGCUAGUUGGUGAGGUAACGGCUCACCAAGGCAACGAUGCGUAGCCGACCUGAGAGGGUGAUCGGCCACACUGGGACUGAGACACGGCCCAGACUCCUACGGGAGGCAGCAGUAGGGAAUCUUCCGAAAUGGACGAAAGUCUGACGGAGCAACGCCGCGUGAGUGAUGAAGGCUUUCGGGUCGUAAAACUCUGUUGUUAGGGAAGAACAAGUGCUAGUUGAAUAAGCUGGCACCUUGACGGUACCUAACCAGAAAGCCACGGCUAACUACGUGCCAGCAGCCGCCGUAA
rnacentral:rRNA from 1 species